rnacentral:miRNA from 1 species
UACUUUGACUGCGUUUAUAAGC